rnacentral:rRNA from 1 species
CGGACCGGCGCACGGGUGAGUAACACGUAUGCAACCUGCCCUCUUCAGGGGGACAACCUUCCGAAAGGGAGGCUAAUCCCGCGUAUAUCGGUUUCGGGCAUCCGAGAUCGAGGAAAGAUUCAUCGGAAGAGGAUGGGCAUGCGGCGCAUUAGCUAGACGGCGGGGUAACGGCCCACCGUGGCGACGAUGCGUAGGGGUUCUGAGAGGAAGGCCCCCCACACUGGGACUGAGACACGGCCCAGACUCCUACGGGAGGCAGCAG